CACUUCCGGUGCGUUUUACAAUGAACUCCGGGCACUCGAGUCGCUCCCCGGAAACUAUAGUUCUGCUUCCACCGUUGUCCUACUUUGGAUAGCAUCAAGACAAAAAUCUCAGUCUUCGAGGAACUCACAGUGUAGCAGAAAAGACAAAGGAGGUAAACAGGAGGAGCUGAUAGCCAGCAAGAAAACAGGGACUUCAGUUCUGCAACUGCAACCAACAACCGGAGUGAGCUUGGAAGCAGAUUCUUUCCAGAGCAUCUAAAGCAGUGAUCCAUGUUUUCAUUGGACUGUGAAAGAGCUACUUCUACUCUAAGGCCACAUUGCCUACAUGAAAUAAAUUAUUGUUAGGAAAUUGCCUUGAAAAGAGAAACAAGACCACAACUCUUAGAAGAAUUCUGAACUUGAGAUUGACAUAGAUCAGAAAGCCCAGAUGCUGUUGAUCCAUCUCACCAGGCAGCAAGAGUAAGGAUAGAAUAUCUGCCCUCCAAUUUCACAGUUCACUAAGAAAAGACUUCUACACUCCCUGGGCAGAACAAUUCCAUCUACGCGGCAUAGGGUUGCUUCUGGAGGACCUGACCUAAGAUUGGCAUCUUACUCAGUCCAGAAGGUCAGGGAAGACUUCUUGGAAGACAUGCCAUCUAAAACAAUGACUGAUGGAGGAAUGGAAUCAUCCAAGUGUACGGGGAGUGGAUGGAAGACAAGAGCAUUCUAGG
rnacentral:lncRNA from 1 species